rnacentral:rRNA from 1 species
CACGUAGGGCGCAAGCGUUGUCCGGAAUUAUUGGGCGUAAAGAGCUCGUAGGCGGUCUGUUACGUCUGCUGUGAAAACUCAGGGCUUAACCCUGGGCUUGCAGUGGAUACGGGCAGACUAGAGGCAGGUAGGGGAGAAUGGAAUUCCCGGUGUAGCGGUGAAAUGCGCAGAUAUCGGGAGGAACACCGGUGGCGAAGGCGGUUCUCUGGGCCUUACCUGACGCUGAGGAGCGAAAGCGUGGGGAGCGAACAGG